rnacentral:misc_RNA from 1 species
GCAAACUUGGUCAUUUAGAGGAAGUAAAAGUCGUAACAAGGUAACCGUAGGUGAACCUGCGGUUGGAUCAUUACCAAUUUUGACAGGGGCCAUCUUCUGAUGGCACCUGUGAAUAAACAAUCACCUUUUGUGCACUGUCUGUCUCUGGCGGCCGGACCAAAGGCUAUGUUACCAGCUGUUGCUCUGUCAGCUUGGUUCACCUUGCGUGAAUUGAGCCGUGGACAAACCGCCAAACACUUUGCUUAACUCAUUGCAUGGCUUUCAUAUCUUCAACACAUCACUUGUAUGAAUUAAUUGAAUAUACAAAAAUAACUUUUGGCAACGGAUCUCUUGGCUCUCGCAUCGAUGAAGAACGCAGC